rnacentral:rRNA from 1 species
UGGUGGAGUGAUUUGUCUGGUUAAUUCCGUUAACGAACGAGACCUCGACCUGCUAAAUAGUCUGGUGAAUCCUCGGAUUCAUACAAACUUCUUAGAGGGACUAUCGGUGUGUAGCCGAUGGAAGUUCGAGGCAAUAACA